UACGGAGGGUGCGAGCGUUCUCCGGAAUCACUGGGCGUAAAGGGCGCGUAGGCGGCUUGGGAAGUCCGUGGUGAAAGCCCGAGGCUCAACUUCGGGUCGGCCAUGGAUACUCCUAAGCUCGAGUCGACUAGAGGCUAAUGGAAUUCCGGGUGUAGCGGUGGAAUGCGUAGAGAUCCGGAAGAACACCGGUGGCGAAGGCGGUUAGCUGGGGUCGGACUGACGCUGAGGCGCGACAGCGUGGGGAGCAAACAGG
rnacentral:rRNA from 1 species